AGGAGAAGGCGGGCGGCUUACGGAAGCUCACCUCCGGGUGAGCCUCUGAGGAAAGUCCCCCCUCGAUUGCCCUGGAUGCUGUCCAUCAGCGGAAAGGGCGCCAUGGUGGGCCGGCGUAGGCUCGGCAUGCAGGCGCAAGCCUCGCAUACGGGCGCAAGCCGGCAGGGCGAGAGCCCUGGCAAGGGCGCAGAAACGGCACAGCCCGCGCCUAGGAUGAACCCUCUGGGGGGGACGUUGGCGCGGGACAUGGUGAAACGGCGACUCCACACCCGAGCAAGUCCAAACAUGGUAGGACGCUUAGUCGAAUGCCGCCGCGGUCUCGAAAGGGCCCGGGCACAGAAGGGGGCUUACAGCUUUGACCU
rnacentral:RNase_P_RNA from 1 species